UACAGCCUUAUAUUUGGGUUUCAUACACUGCAGGUUUUGGGAAGCUACUGAAGAUCCUUCAGCUGGACAGACUUUAGAAUCAGAGUUCUACUUCUGAGAGAAUUUAGAACCUGCUCAGUGAAUUCACACAGCUCACAAUCAGGUUUCUCUGUGCAGCCCUGGAUGUCCUGGAACUUGCUUUGUAGACAAGGCUGGCUUCAAAUUCAGAGAUCUGCCAGCCUCUACUGGAAUUAAAGGAGAAGCUGCCACCACCACCCAGCCAUUGACAUGUUUAAUCCCCAGAAACUAGGUAAAGAACCAGAUGCAGUGGUACACAUCUGUAAUUAAGCAUUCCUACAGAGGAUAAGAGGUGGAAACAGAAUUGUCCAGAAGCUUCCAGGACAGCUAGCAUGGAGUAUAUGGUGUAGCAGGAGAAACAAUAAAAAAGACCCUGACUCAACAAGGUCCCAGGUGAGAACCAACUCUUAAAAAUCAUCCUCUAACCUCUACACAAACACACACCAUGGCACACAUGUACAAUAAUAACACACCCAACCCAAGAAGUUAAUUAAUUAGAAUGAUGUCCAAGUCAAAGUGAGGUGUGAGUUUAUUUUCUAGUCUUGCUCACUGAAAGACCCUACAAGCAAUGGCAUCAUCAUAGAGGCAGUGAGGAAUGAUACUUAGCACUUAGAUCUGUUGUUUAGCCAGGCUGACCUUAAAGUUACUACCUUCCUACCUCAGACCCACAAGAACUUGUAGUUGUGUGCCACCAUGUCUAGCCCCAGCAUUUCUUUUUU